UUUGGCAUCUGAAUCUUUUUUCACGUAAAUGAUGCUGUAAAAUAAGAAAUCGUUUUAUCCAAUAUCAUUUACAAAAUGUUCCACUUAGAAGAUAACACAGAUAGCACUCUAUGCCAGCCCUUCAAGAUGCCGAAGGGAAAGAAGGCCAAGGGGAAGAAGGUGGCCCCGGCUCCGGCCCCGGCCGUGGUGAAGAAGCAGGAGGCUAAGAAGGUGGUCAAUCCCCUGUUCGAGAAGAGGCCCAAGAAUUUUGGCAUUGGACAGGACAUCCAACCCAAGAGCGACCUCACCCGCUUUGUCAAAUGGCCCCGCUAUAUCCGGCUGCAGCGGCAAAGGGCUAUUCUCUACAAGCGGCUGAAAGUGCCUCCUGCAAUUAACCAAUUCACCCAGGCCUUGGACCGAUACACAGCUACUCAGCUGCUUAAGCUGGCCCACAAGUACAGACCAGAGACAAAGCGAGAGAAGAAGCAGAGACUGCUGGCCCGAGCUGAGAAGAAGGCUGCCGGCAAAGGUGAUGUCCCCACCAAGAGGCCACCUAUCCUUCGAGCAGGGGUCAACACUGUCACCACCCUGGUGGAGAACAAGAAGGCCCAGCUGGUGGUGAUCCUCAUGAUGUGGAUCCCAUCGAGCUCGUGGUCUUCUUGCCCUCCCUGUGCCGCAAGAUGGGGGUUCCCUACGGCAUCAUCAAGGACAAGGCCUGGCAGGGCCGCCUGGUCCACAGGAAGACGUGCACCACCGUAGCCUUCACACAAGUCAACUCGAAGGACAAGAGUGCCCUGGCUAAAGCUGGUGGAAGCCAUCAGGACCAAUUACGACGACAGAUACGAUGAGAUCCGUCGUCACUGGGGAGGCAGUGUUCUGGGGCCGAAGUCAGUGGCUCGCAUCGCCAAGCUGGAAAAGGCAAAGGCCAAAGAACUGGCCACCAGGCUGGGCUGAGUGUACACUACUGAGUUUUCUGUACAUAAAAGUAAUAAAAAAGAUUCUUAAAAAAAAAACAAAACAGAUAAACAUGUAAUGUGUUGUUUUUAUUUGCUGUUUCUUAGUAUUUGGAUGAAGGGUAAAUGAAAGAUAAUUUAAGGAAUGUUUAAGU